GACGAACGCUGGCGGCGUGCUUAACACAUGCAAGUCGAACGGAAAGGCCCUGCUUUUGUGGGGUGCUCGAGUGGCGAACGGGUGAGUAACACGUGAGUAACCUGCCCUUGACUUUGGGAUAACUUCAGGAAACUGGGGCUAAUACCGGAUAGGAGCUCCUGCUGCACGGUGGGGGUUGGAAAGUUUCGGCGGUUGGGGAUGGACUCGCGGCUUAUCAGCUUGUUGGUGGGGUAGUGGCUUACCAAGGCUUUGACGAGUAGCCGGCCUGAGAGGGUGACCGGCCACAUUAGGACUGAGAUACGGCCCAGACUCCUACGGGAGGCAGCAGUGGGGAAUAUUGCACAAUGGGCGGAAGCCUGAUGCAGCAACGCCGCGUGCGGGAUGACGGCCUUCGGGUUGUAAACCGCUUUCGCCUGUGACGAAGCGUGAGUGACGGUAAUGGGUAAAGAAGCACCGGCUAACUACGUG
rnacentral:rRNA from 1 species